rnacentral:lncRNA from 1 species
UUUUUUACAAUACCGUAAUACCGAUAACGUCGAUCUUACUCCGAUUCAGCUAGCUCUGAUACCAAAUGAUACGCCCCGGCUCGGGAAGGAGAGUCGAGUCGUAGAUGUGCCCGAUCGUGAAUUGGAGUAAUUUGAAAGCUUUACAAAAUAGGCUAGAAGAAAAGGAAUUAUUUAGGCUCAAAAGAGUUUUGUUGGUUUAGGAAAUGAAUUAGAAGACAAUGGAUGUAAUUUGGCUAAGGAUUCAAAAGCCGAACUAACACAAUAGUAGUGUGUUAACCCGUAACUUAUGAGAAUGCUUAGGUUGGUAAGGUGUCAAUGGAAGGUUUGUUAAGUGGAUAGAAACUUCGACCCGCUAUCAAAAAUGAUAGGAACCUCAGUACGAAUCGAACGCCACACUUUCGGGAUUAAAGUGAUAAGUUCGGAUAGAAAGACGGGUUGACG